CUAAACCUUGUCAACGGGGAGCUGACAAUCACAGGACUAAGUCCAGAGGACAACGGAGAGUACACACCAGAGAUCAAUGGUCAAAUUUUCAGUCCCGUUCAUCUUAAAGUCUUUUCUCGUGUCCCAAAACCUGUUAUCUCUAAAACCUGUAAA